AGCUUUGCACAGUGGCAGUGUCAGAGCCAGUGAGGUUUCUCUGAGGCGCAAUUUUUGCUAAUUGAGAACUUUCCCCAAUACCCCGCCAUGACGACUUGAAAUAUAGUCGGCAUUGGCAAUUUUUGACAGUCUCUAUGGAGA
ensembl:snRNA U4 U4 spliceosomal RNA